UACGUAGGGGGCAAGCGUUGUCCGGAAUCAUUGGGCGUAAAGCGCGUGUAGGCGGUCCGAUAAGUCGGUUGUGAAAGUCAAGGGCUCAACCCUUGAAUGCCGACCGAUACUGUCGGGCUAGAGCCCGGAAGAGGUGAGUGGAAUUCCUGGUGUAGCGGUGAAAUGCGCAGAUAUCAGGAGGAACACCAAUGGCGAAGGCAGCUCACUGGGACGGUACUGACGCUGAGACGCGAAAGCGUGGGGAGCGAACAGG
rnacentral:rRNA from 1 species